GACGAACGCUGGCGGCGUGCUUAACACAUGCAAGUCGAACGGAAAGGCCCUGCUUGCAGGGUACUCGAGUGGCGAACGGGUGAGUAACACGUGGGUGAUCUGCCCUGCACUUCGGGAUAAGCCUGGGAAACUGGGUCUAAUACCGGAUAGGAGCCAUUUUUAGUGUGAUGGUUGGAAAGUUUUUUCGGUGUAGGAUGAGCUCGCGGCCUAUCAGCUUGUUGGUGGGGUAAUGGCCUACCAAGGCGGCGACGGGUAGCCGGCCUGAGAGGGUGGACGGCCACAUUGGGACUGAGAUACGGCCCAGACUCCUACGGGAGGCAGCAGGGGGGAAUAUUGCACAAUGGGCGCAAGCCUGAUGCAGCGACGCCGCGUGGGGGAUGACGGCCUUCGGGUUGGAAACUCCUUUCGCUAGGGACGAAGCUUUUUGUGACGGUACCUAGAUAAGAAGCACCGGCUAACUACGUG
rnacentral:rRNA from 1 species